rnacentral:tRNA from 1 species
UUGGAUAAUAGUUAAAUUAACAUUUAAUUUGCAUUUAAAAAAUAUUGAAAAUUCAAUUUAUCUU